UACGUAGGGUGCAAGCGUUUGUCCGGAAUUAUUGGGCGUAAAGAGCUCGUAGGCGGUUUGUCGCGUCUGCUGUGAAAUCCCGAGGCUCAACCUCGGGCCUGCAGUGGGUACGGGCAGACUGGAGUGCGGUAGGGGGAGAAUGGAAUUCCUGGUGUAGCGGUGGAAUGCGCAGAUAUCAGGAGGAACACCGGUGGCGAAGGCGGAUCUCUGGGCCUUACCUGACGCUCAGGCGCGAAAGCUAGGGGAGCGAACAGG
rnacentral:rRNA from 1 species